rnacentral:rRNA from 1 species
CAGUAGCCGCGGGAAUACGUAGGGUGCGAGCGUUAAUCGGAAUUACUGGGCGUAAAGCGUGCGCAGGCGGUUCGUUAAGACAGAUGUGAAAUCCCCGGGCUUAACCUGGGAACUGCAUUUGUGACUGACGGGCUAGAGUAUGGCAGAGGUGGGUAGAAUUCCACGUGUAGCAGUGAAAUGCGUAGAGAUGUGGAGGAAUACCGAUGGCGAAGGCAGCCCCCUGGGCCAAUACUGACGCUCAUGCACGAAAGCGUGGGGAGCAAACAGGAUUAGAUACCCGCGUAGUCCCUGUCUCUUAUAC